rnacentral:rRNA from 1 species
CGGGUCCUAAGCUGAGGCCGACAGGCGUAGGCGAUGGAUAACAGGUUGAUAUUCCUGUACCACCUAUAAUCGUUUUAAUCGAUGGGGGGACGCAGUAGGAUAGGCGAAGCGUGCGAUUGGAUUGCACGUCUAAGCAGUAAGGCUGAGUAUUAGGCAAAUCCGGUACUCAUUAAGGCUGAGCUGUGAUGGGGAGAAGACAUUGUGUCUUCGAGUCGUUGAUUUCACACUGCCGAGAAAAGCCUCUAGAUAGAAAAUAGGUGCCCGUACCGCAAACCGACACAGGUAGUCAAGAUGAGAAUUCUAAGGUGAGCGAGCGAACUCUCGUUAAGGAACUCGGCAAAAUGACCCCGUAACUUCGGGAGAAGGGGUGCUCUUUAGGGUUAACGCCCAGAAGAGCCGCAGUGAAUAGGCCCAAGCGACUGUUUAUCAAAAACACAGGUCUCUGCUAAACCGUAAGGUGAUGUAUAGGGGCUGACGCCUGCCCGGUGCUGGAAGGUUAAGAGGAGUGGUUAGCUUCUGCGAAGCUACGAAUCGAAGCCCCAGUAAACGGCGGCCGUAACUAUAACGGUCCUAAGGUAGCGAAAUUCCUUGUCGGGUAAGUUCCGACCCGCACGAAAGGCGUAACGAUUUGGGCACUGUCUCAACGAGAGACUCGGUGAAAUCAUAGUACCUGUGAAGAUGCAGGUUACCCGCGACAGGACGGAAAGACCCCGUGGAGCUUUACUGUAGCCUGAUAUUGAAAUUCGGCACAGCUUGUACAGGAUAGGUAGGAGCCUUUGAAACGUGAGCGCUAGCUUACGUGGAGGCGCUGGUGGGAUACUACCCUAGCUGUGUUGGCUUUCUAACCCGCACCACUUAUCGUGGUGGGAGACAGUGUCAGGCGGGCAGUUUGACUGGGGCGGUCGCCUCCUAAAAGGUAACGGAGGCGCUCAAAGGUUCCCUCAGAAUGGUUGGAAAUCAUUCAUAGAGUGUAAAGGCAUAAGGGAGCUUGACUGCGAGACCUACAAGUCGAGCAGGGUCGAAAGACGGACUUAGUGAUCCGGUGGUUCCGCAUGGAAGGGCCAUCGCUCAACGGAUAAAAGCUACCCCGGGGAUAACAGGCUUAUCUCCCCCAAGAGUUCACAUCGACGGGGAGGUUUGGCACCUCGAUGUCGGCUCAUCGCAUCCUGGGGCUGUAGUCGGUCCCAAGGGUUGGGCUGUUCGCCCAUUAAAGCGGUACGCGAGCUGGGUUCAGAACGUCGUGAGACAGUUCGGUCCCUAUCCGUCGUGGGCGUAGGAAAUUUGAGAGGAGCUGUCCUUAGUACGAGAGGACCGGGAUGGACAUACCUCUGGUGUACCAGUUGUCGUGCCAACGGCAUAGCUGGGUAGCUAUGUGUGGACGGGAUAAGUGCUGAAAGCAUCUAAGCAUGAAGCCCCCCUCAAGAUGAGAUUUCCCAACUUCGGUUAUAAGAUCCCUCAAAGAUGAUGAGGUUAAUAGGUUCGAGGUGGAAGCAUGGUGACAUGUGGAGCUGACGAAUACUAA